rnacentral:rRNA from 1 species
CCUACGGGAGACUGCAGUAAGGAAUAUUGCACACUGGGAGCAACCCUGAUGCAGCGACGCCGCGUGAGUGAAGAAGUAUUUCGGUAUGUAAAGCUCUGUCAGCAGGGAAGAAAAUGACGGUACCUGACCAAGAAGCCCCGGCUAACUACGUGCCAGCAGCCGCGGUAAUACGUAGGGGGCAAGCGUUAUCCGGAUUUACUGGGUGUAAAGGGAGCGUAGACGGCAGGGCAAGUCUGGAGUGAAAGGCGGGGGCUCAACCCCCGGACUGCUCUGGAAACUGCCAGGCUGGAGUGCAGGAGAGGGAAGUGGAAUUCCUAGUGUAGCGGUGAAAUGCGUAGAGAUUAGGAGGAACACCAGUGGCGAAGGCGGCUUACUGGACUGUAACUGACGUUGAGGCUCGAAAGCGUGGGGAGCAAACAGGAUUAGAUACCCGAGUAGUC